GAAAGAUGGCUUUGGCUAUCACUCUGGGAUGGACCUGCGGUGCAUUAGCUAGUUGGUAAGGUAACGGCUUACCAAGGCGAUGAUGCAUAGCCGAGUUGAGAGACUGAUCGGCCACAAUGGAACUGAGACACGGUCCAUACUCCUACGGGAGGCAGCAGUAGGGAAUCUUCCACAAUGGGCGCAAGCCUGAUGGAGCAACACCGCGUGAGUGAAGAAGGGUUUCGGCUCGUAAAGCUCUGUUGUUGGAGAAGAACGUGCGUGAGAGUAACUGUUCACGCAGUGACGGUAUCCAACCAGAAAGUCACGGCUAACUACGUGCCAGCAGCCGCGGUAAUACGUAGGUGGCAAGCGUUAUCCGGAUUUAUUGGGCGUAAAGCGAGCGCAGGCGGUUGCUUAGGUCUGAUGUGAAAGCCUUCGGCUUAACCGAAGAAGUGCAUCGGAAACCGGGCGACUUGAGUGCAGAAGAGGACAGUGGAACUCCAUGUGUAGCGGUGGAAUGCGUAGAUAUAUGGAAGAACACCAGUGGCGAAGGCGGCUGUCUGGUCUGCAACUGACGCUGAGGCUCGAAAGCAUGGGUAGCGAACAGGAUUAGAUACCCUGGUAGUCCAUGCCGUAAACGAUGAGUGCUAGGUGUUGGAGGGUUUCCGCC
rnacentral:rRNA from 1 species